GUUAAUUAUGAUUUAUUUGUGCAUAGGAGUUCAAUUUUUAUUUGUGCAUUUACUUGUUAGGGUAAGUCUUGAUUGUUCAUGUGAUGCCUCUAUGCAAAUAUUCCUUUGAUUCAGUUCAGUUCAGUUCAGUCAUUUAGAUUGUUAGUUUUAAAUUAGGUUGAGUAUCUUUGAGAAGUAAAGCAUAUUGUGUAGCUAAUAUUAGCAAUGGUUCAAGUCACCAGUACUGUAAAACAACUAGCUCUUGGCAUAUGCCAGAAUUUGACACAUUUAUGCCAGUACUGUAAAAGCAAACACAAUUUCCACUGCAAGUUGUGAAAUGUUGCCUUACUCAUGUAUGUUUCUCACCUUGCGCUACUUACUACCCAGUUCCUAACUUUUUUGUUUUUAUCUUGGUGAUUUAGGCGAAAGGAAAUGACUACCGUUCCGGGUUCUCUGGUCUGGGAGCUUGUCAAGAAGAACAACUGCUUCCUGAUCAAGCAGUUCGGCAACAGCAACAUCAAGGUGCAGUUCAGCAAGGAGCCCAACAACCUCUACAAUGUCCACUCCUAUAAGUUCUCUGGUCCGUAGCUGCCUGUGCUGUUUAAACCCUUCUGUACCUAUAGAUCCAGUGUGGUGCUUACCGAUGAGCUCCGCGACAAGAUCGUCAAGCAGGUGGAGUACUACUUCAGCGAUGAGAACCUUCCGACGGAUGAGUUUAUGUUGAAAUUUGUCAAAAAGAACAAGGAUGGCUUUGGUAAUGAGGCCACAGGUUCUGCUACAGGAAGAGUGGCAAGGAUGAUAGCAGCCAGGACCCCAUGACCCAACCUGUCAGCUCGCCCUUGAGCAGACAGAGCCUGUCCACGCUCACAGGGUUCUUCCUGAAGAACCAGGAGUUCCGCAAGAUGGCCAAGGCUGUCAAGAACCAGAGCCUUGUCUGGCACAUGGAGCUGAAAGAUCAAGUGGUACUGAAAGUCUGAGACAACAUGGGGUACGAUAGAUACAGCAAUUUCCUCCCAGGACAUGGUAAAAAGGUGGUGUCAUUUUUGCAGAGACAAGGUUCUCACCGGCAGGGCCCCCGUCCCCGGCGGGUUGGUUGCAGAAUGUAGCAGCAGCAGCACGAUCGACCGGCGGCAGCAGCCGUUGCGAGCUGCUCCUGCGUGUCCCCCGUCCACGGCGGAGCAGGGCGACGUCCCGGACCACGACGCGAGGGGCACGGAUGGGACGGCCGCGAGCGCGGACGAAGGCGGCGCAGCGGCGGCGGAGUGGGUCUCUAGGAAGAGGAGGCCAAACCUCGACGGCCGCCGGACGACCUCGACGGCGCAGUUGGUGUCGAGGAAGAGGAGCUCGGUGAGGUCGCCCACGAGGCCUUCGCAGGGAAAGGAGAAGCGAUCGGCCGGCGGGCCCUCCGCGGGAGCCUCCCGACACCGAGCGGAUCCGCCCCGAACUCCCUCUCGCCGGGGAGCUGCGGACGGCAGCGCUGCGCCGUCGGCCUCCUCCUUGAGGAAGACGACUCUAAAUUUGGACCUGAUUGAAAAUUAUUUUGAAUUCGCAAGGGGGUUAUUGUAAAAACAACUUAUAACACUCGCCCGAACAGUAAUUCGGGUCGGAGGGAGUACA